UCAGUCUUUACAGAUUUGGAAAGAAUGUGACUGACAUGACACAACUCUAUGGGUAAAUGACUACAAGUAUGAGGCACACAUAUGGUCAGUGUGCAGAACAAUGGACAGCUGAAUGGUAUGAACUCAAUAUA